rnacentral:misc_RNA from 1 species
AACGCAUAUUGCGCCCUUUGGUAUUCCGAAGGGCAUGCCUGUUCGAGCGUCAUUAUCACCCUUCAAGCCCCCGGGCUUUGGUGUUGGACGGUUUGGUCUCGGUGAUGAGACCCCUCCUAAAAUCAACGACGGCGGCCUGUUCGACCCCGGUACACUGAGCUUCUUAACUGAGCACGUAUCGGCCUAGGCAGGACCCGGCCUUCUUCCUUAACCGGAAAAUUUCUCUCAAGGUUGACCUCGGAUCAGGUAGGGAUACCCGCUGAACUUAA